GUGCUUGCUUCGGCAGCACAUAUACUAAAAUUGGAACGAUACAGAGAAGAGUAUCAUGGCCCAUGCACAAGAAUGACAUGCAAAUUCAUGAAGCAUUCCAUAUUUUU
ensembl:snRNA U6 U6 spliceosomal RNA